AUGGCGGGCCUCGACGAGCACGGCCUCGAUCCGGCCUCAGCCGGAGGACCUCGAGCCAAGGAGUGCGGCCUCGAUUGGGACUCGGCAUCUGGGGCGACGACGGAGGAGGAGGGGAAAGGAGGGGAGCAGCAGCUAGCAUCUGGGGCGGCGGCGGCUGGACUCCAUGAGCUGGUCGAGGUGCUUCAUGUCAAGGAAGCAGCUGACAGUGCAAGGCUGAGUGAUCCACGGCGAGGAAGAUGGGGAAGACAGAGCCAACACCGCCGAUUCCCACGGACCAAAAUGGAGCCGGCAACAGGGAUGAUGGGAUAA
rnacentral:rRNA from 1 species